rnacentral:rRNA from 1 species
UACAGAGGGUGCAAACGUUGUUCGGAUUUACUGGGCGUAAAGGGCGCGCAGGCGGCUCUGAAAGUCAGAUGUGAAAGCCCCGGGCUUAACCUGGGAAUUGCAUUUGAUACUCUGGAGCUUGAGUACGGGAGAGGAGAGUGGAAUUCCCAGUGUAGAGGUGAAAUUCGUAGAUAUUGGGAAGAACACCGGUGGCGAAGGCGGCUCUCUGGACCGUAACUGACGCUGAGGCGCGAAAGCGUGGGGAGCAAACAGG